UAAAUUACAUCCUGUAUUAUACUCCAGAGCUGCACUCACUAUUCUGCUGGUGGAUUCACUGUGUACAUACAUUACAUUACUUAUCCUGUACUGAUCCUGAGUUACAUCCUGUAUUAUACUCCAGAGGUGUGAUCACAAUUCUGCUGGUGCAGUCACUGUGAACAUGC